GAGUUUGAUCGUGGCUCAGAAUGAACGCUGGCGGCAUGCCUAACACAUGCAAGUCGAACGAAGGCUUCGGCCUUAGUGGCGCACGGGUGCGUAACGCGUGGGAAUCUGCCUUGGGGUUCGGAAUAACUCCCCGAAAGGGGUGCUAAUACCGGAUGAUGUCUACGGACCAAAGAUUUAUCGCCCUGAGAUGAGCCCGCGUAGGAUUAGCUAGUUGGUGGGGUAAAGGCCCACCAAGGCGACGAUCCUUAGCUGGUCUGAGAGGAUGAUCAGCCACACUGGGACUGAGACACGGCCCAGACUCCUACGGGAGGCAGCAGUGGGGAAUAUUGGACAAUGGGCGAAAGCCUGAUCCAGCAAUGCCGCGUGAGUGAUGAAGGCCUUAGGGUUGUAAAGCUCUUUUACCCGGGAUGAUAAUGACAGUACCGGAGAAUAAGCUCCGGCUAACUCCGUGCCAGCCGCC
rnacentral:rRNA from 1 species